ACUGGUUAGUGGUGACGACGCAGUCUUAACAUUGGAGUGAGCCAAUCUAAUCCAAGCAAAUGACGGUAAGAUGAUUUCGAUGAUGUCAAAACCGUUGGAGAGAUGGAUGCCUCAUCUACCCCUGGUUGGCUCACAAUACAUAUGAUUAUUCUGUUUGAUAUUUUUUCCUCCUCUCCAAUCAUUGUUGGUCUUCAGCUGUAUGAGAAUAGAGAGAGAGAGAGAGAGAUUGUGCUGACUGAAAUAGUGGUGACUGGAGAACUCAGAAAUACAAAUCUGUGCAACAUCUUAAAAUUCCUAGUUUGAUAGCCCUUACAACUCCCUCAGACACACACCGUUUAGGAUUAAAUCCUGAAAAGUAGCGAAUAGUAUUGCCGAUCAGGCCAGGACCAUGUAAAAGUGUAACAUUCCUUCUCCGAGAACAAAUGGAGUUAAUUCUGCCACAAAAGAAAAGAAUGAACUGAUGAACUCGUUCACACUACCCCUCGCUCUUCAACUGUUGGAGAAAACUUCCUUCUAUCGCUGCUCGCAACACAGCAGAACUUGGUUUAAUUCUGUGCGCUAAAAUUUUGCAAACGAGGCCUAAAAUACUGUUAUGUAGGAUAGACUGUUAUGUAGGAUAGACGGAAUCGUUUCAGUAACUUUCUUGAUCAUCUUUAGAAACUCUUUCAACAACAUUGAUAAAGUCCAGUUUGCCUGCUGAAAUUUCAGAAUCUUGCUCUACUUUACGGAAGGCGCGAAUGUAAAAUCUAUGAAUUGUAAAAAAAGCAAUCAAUGUCAGUUAAGAGUUAAAAUUUGAAUAUGCAUGAUAUGGUCGGUCGAAUAUAAUAUAAUGAAUUGAUCCAAAGCCAGCAGGCUUUUCGCACUGGCCAGUAUUGCUUUUUGAAGGGAAACGCUACAAUGCUCAUCAAGGAGCAAAUCCUGGUUCGCGUAACCAAUAUCAAACGCAUCAUGGAAUCCAUUUUCUGAGAUAGGAUUCACAUUUAAUCAUCAAAACUCUU